rnacentral:rRNA from 1 species
GUGCAGCAGGCGAGAAUCCUCCGCAAUGCGGGAAACCGCGACGGGGGGCCCCGAGUGCCGUGGCAACGCCACGGCUCUUCCGGAGUGUAAAAAGCUCCGGGAAUAAGGGCUGGGCAAGGCCGGUGGCAGCCGCCGCGGUAAUACCGGCGGCCCGAAUGGUGGCCGCUAUUAUUGGGCCUAAAGCGUCCGUAGCCGGGCCCGUAAGUCCCUGGCGAAAUCCCACGGCUCAACCGUGGGGCUUGCUGGGGAUUCUGCGGGUCUUGGGACCGGGGAGAGGCGGGGGGUACCCCUGGGGUAGGGGUGGAAAGUCC